CAAUGAACACGUGAUGUUUAAGAGGACAUGCAUGUUUGCUCCUUGUCUACCAAGAGUAUUCGGUUAGUCAUUACACAUGUAUGAUUUUAAUGAUUUUAUCUCAAGAAAUGAAGCAGUAAUGAAAAGGACAUUUAUCUUUUCUUUAGAGUCUUCUUUCCUCUCCAGGCUCUGGAAGCCCCACAGUCAACCUGCGUAGUCUACCUGUGCUACACACCCUCUGCAACCCAGCACUGCCAUAUCAAAAAUAAACAUUCCGGCUUCCACAAAACGGCUUUGCCCUGCUGAGCGGACCUGAUGGGGCAUUUUCAACAUGCUUAUCAAGGUAUCAAGAUUGGACGGCUGGGACGAGGCCAGAUAAUGACAGAACUUUCCCUCAGAAAAUGUCUUAAAUGUCAUGGAGCGGUUAUUGAAGGCCGUGAUGGGUUGGAUUAAUAUGGACUUGUUUGCACUUGGAAGGAUUACUGAGGCAGUGUGUAAAUGAUGGGUUUACGGGAAUGAAAACAUCAGAAAGAUCUGUUAGGAAGCUACUUAAAUAACCCAGCACAGGAGAGAUGACAGUUUAAACCAAGAGAAGUCGGCUGGAGAUGGAAGAGUAGAUUUGAUGGCUACUUAGGGAAAAGCAAUUGAUGGGACCUGCAGCUUGGUUAGAUGUUGAGGGGAAAGAAGAGAGAAACCUCUGAGGCUUCUGCAUUAGGUAAAUGGGGGAAGGCGGUGAGGUUAUCCAUAAGAGGGAAAAUGCAUGGAAAGCCAGUUUAUGGAGCAGGAGGACGUGUUCCGUUUUGACAUGCUUGACUCGAAGUGUUUUGGAGACACCCAAGAAGGGGACCCAGUGAGCGUUAGGGGAGGGUCUGUCAUGCCCAGAAGAGAGUUAUUAGCUCUCAGGUGGCAGCAGAAGCCAGGGGGUUGAACCAAAUCACACAGAAAGAUUGGAUGCUGUGAGAAAAUAAGGCCACAGAUGAAGUCAUAAUGAAUCCCAACAUUUUAUGACAUGGACCCAGGAACAGAAGACCGCAAAGUGGGCUGGGAUCUGUGAGCCCAGAAAAGCAACGUUCCACCAAAGUCAAGGGAGGCUGGAAUGUCAAAUUGGAGGUGUCUAGGAGUGUCAAAUAUUGCAGAAGGUGUUAAAAAGGACCGAAAAGUGUCUGCUGAGAUUUGCUAUCCAGAAGCACAGCUCAAAAUGGCCUCUGCAGAAUAAAUGGAAUGAGCUAGGUGUGGAACUCCAGGCACAGCGGUCAAUUAAGGGCUGUUCAUUAACAUUUCAAGCACUGCAGAUAGGGCAUUGUGAGAGCAGGGAUGAUGAUGUCUGCAAUGUGCUUGGCCCUUCAUAUGUGUCUGAUCCAGUUUACUUUCGGGGACAUCCGUCAUCACCAUUGGAAUCCAGACACACACCAUGAAACAUAAACAGACUGAGGCCAACAAAGGUGAAGACAGUUGCCUAAAUAACACAGCUUAUUUGCAGAAGAGCUAACAAGCGUUGAGUCGAUACUAUUUUAGCUAUAUUGUGUGACUUUUUGUACCAGAGAACUUACAAAAAUCAUCAGGGCCAGAUGGCCUGCAAGAUAUUGGAUCAUUAGGACAUAAAAAUUAGGUAGAAUCAAGGU
rnacentral:lncRNA from 1 species